ACACAUGCAAGUCGAACGGGAAUCUUCGGAUUCUAGUGGCGGACGGGUGAGUAACGCGUAAGAAUCUAACUUCAGGACGGGGACAACAGUUGGAAACGACUGCUAAUACCCGAUGUGCCGCAAGGUGAAACCUAAUUGGCCUGGAGAAGAGCUUGCGUCUGAUUAGCUAGUUGGUGGGGUAAAGGCCUACCAAGGCGACGAUCAGUAGCUGGUCUGAGAGGAUGAGCAGCCACACUGGGACUGAGACACGGCCCAGACUCCUACGGGAGGCAGCAGUGGGGAAUUUUCCGCAAUGGGCGAAAGCCUGACGGAGCAACGCCGCGUGGGGGAGGAAGGUCUUUGGAUUGUAAACCUCUUUUCUCAAGGAAGAAGUUCUGACGGUACUUGAGGAAUCAGCCUCGGCUAACUCCGUGCCAGCAGCCGCGGUAAUACGGGGGAGGCAAGCGUUAUCCGGAAUUAUUGGGCGUAAAGCGUCCGCAGGUGGUCAGCCAAGUCUGCCGUCAAAUCAGGUUGCUUAACGACCUAAAGGCGGUGGAAACUGGCAGACUAGAGAGCAGUAGGGGUAGCAGGAAUUCCCAGUGUAGCGGUGAAAUGCGUAGAGAUUGGGAAGAACAUCGGUGGCGAAAGCGUGCUACUGGGCUGUAUCUGACACUCAGGGACGAAAGCUAGGGGAGCGAAAGGGAUUAGAUACCCCUGUAGUCCUAGCCGUAAACGAUGGAUACUAGGCGUGGCUUGUAUCGACCCGAGCCGUGCCGAAGCUAACGCGUUAAGUAU
rnacentral:rRNA from 1 species